GAUGAACGCUAGCGGCAGGCUUAACACAUGCAAGUCGAGGGGCAGCAUAAUGGAUAGCAAUAUCUAUGGUGGCGACCGGCGCACGGGUGCGUAACGCGUAUGCAACCUACCUUUAACAGGGGGAUAACACUGAGAAAUUGGUACUAAUACCCCAUAAUAUCAUAGAAGGCAUCUUUUAUGGUUGAAAAUUCCGAUGGAUAGAGAUGGGCAUGCGUUGUAUUAGCUAGUUGGUGGGGUAACGGCUCACCAAGGCGACGAUACAUAGGGGGACUGAGAGGUUAACCCCCCACACUGGUACUGAGACACGGACCAGACUCCUACGGGAGGCAGCAGUGAGGAAUAUUGGUCAAUGGACGCAAGUCUGAACCAGCCAUGCCGCGUGCAGGAUGACGGCUCUAUGAGUUGUAAACUGCUUUUGUACGAGGGUAAACGCAGAUACGUGUAUCUGUCUGAAAGUAUCGUACGAAUAAGGAUCGGCUAACUCCGUG
rnacentral:rRNA from 1 species